GGCACAACUAGACCACACCGUCAACUAUCAUACCAAAUAUGAAGUUCCUAAGUUAAAUAGUUUCCGAGUUCUGCUACGGAAAUGAAAGUUCGACACGCGAACGGACGGAAGGAUGGACACGUGGAGUGCUAUAUACCCCUGACUAGGCUGUCCUGACAAUGUUAUGAAUAUU